GCAGCCCGCUCACUUAUGUUACACAGCUAAGACCAUGUGAUGCCCACACUCCCAUGAGUCUCUUCAAAAUGUUGUUCAAGUUUCCUGCCA